GGAGGGGGCAAGCGUUGUUCGGAAUUACUGGGCGUAAAGGGCGCGUAGGCGGUAUGCCAUGUCAGGGGUGAAAGGCCUGGGCUCAACCCAGGAACUGCCUUUGAAACUGGCAAACUAGAGUCCGAUAGAGGAUGGCGGAAUUCCCAGUGUAGAGGUGAAAUUCGUAGAUAUUGGGAAGAACACCAGUGGCGAAGGCGGCCAUCUGGAUCGGCACUGACGCUGAGGCGCGAAAGCGUGGGGAGCAAACAGGAUUAGAUACCCUGGUAGUCCACGCCGUAAACGAUGUGUGCUAGACGUUGGGGGGGUCUUAGACCUGGGUGUCGUAGCUAACGCGUUAAGCACACCGCCUGGGGGAGUACGGCCGCAAGGUUA
rnacentral:rRNA from 1 species